rnacentral:tRNA from 1 species
AGAAAGUUAGUCCAAUAAAGACAGUUGAUUUCGACUCAACAGACCACAGUCCCAACCUGUGACUUUCUC